rnacentral:snRNA from 1 species
GGAUGUGAGGUCAAUCUGGCUGUGACAUCUGUCACCCUAUUGAUUGCCAGGGUUGAUUUGGCUGAUCUGGCUGGCUAGACGGCUGCCCCGUUCCUCCCUCACCAUUCCAAGUGCAUUCCUUCUGAAGCUGCAUGCUUGGCAGAAGGGGAUGACCUUUCCUGAUUGAGGUGUACCAUUCAUUGGUCAAGGGUAUACGGUAGCUGCACUCUCCUGCUAGAACCUCCAAACAAAUAAACAAAGAGUAGUUGGUGUAGAAAUGCCCAUAAUGGACAAUAGUUGUCAGUAU